CCUACGGGUGUCAGCAGUGGGGAAUAUUGGGCAAUGGGCGCAAGCCUGACCCAGCAACGCCGCGUGAAGGAAGAAGGCUUUCGGGUUGUAAACUGCUUUUGUCAGGGACGAAGCAAGUGACGGUACCUGACGAAUAAGCCACGGCUAACUACGUGCCAGCAGCCGCGGUAAUACGUAGGUGGCAAGCUUUAUCCGGCUUUACUGGGUGUAAAGGGCGUGUAGGCGGGGAGGAAAGUCAGAUGUAAAAACAACGGCCUCAACCUGUGGCCUGCAUUUGAAACGGUUUUUCUUGAGUGCUGGAGAGGCAAUCGGAAUUCCGUGUGUAGCGGUGAAAUGCGUAGAUAUACGGAGGAACAGCAGUGGCGAAGGCGGAUUGCUGGACAGUAACUGACGCUGAGGCGCGAAAGCGUGGGGAGCAAACAGGAUUAGAUACCCUUGUAGUC
rnacentral:rRNA from 1 species